CGGGUCGCUCGGCCUCCGCGCUUUCCGCCGGGGUGAUUCACCCGGCCUUAUGUAAAUCCCUGGGAAUUUCACCGGGCCGCAGAGGAUGAGACUCCAGCCCCGAGAGGAACCAGCCGUAGCAAACAACUUUGAACCCACACCCCACUUUCCUGUGCGCGCUCACCCGCCCUGGCCCCUGCGGGCUGGUGCGCCUGGAGGUUGGUGGCUCCGCCUUUCGUAGGGGAUUUGCAGGGAAUUCAGUCUCUCUGUGCAAUGAGAACACCUAGGCCAGCAACCCUACAUCCGUUCAUCCUUUCCACACAGCGUCUGUCCUCGGUUCUGGUCACAGAGCAAUGAAAUCCUCAGAUCCCGGCUCCACUGUGCCAUGGAGCCCAGGUUUCAGGUCAUCAGCUGGCACUGAUUGUUUUAUUCUCUAAAGAAUGAAUGUUCGAGAGUUUUCGAGCAAACUCCCUAAUGUCUGUAGCUGAGCUGAGGCAUCACAAGUGACCCCAUCAGGGCCCUUCACGCACAGACCCAAUGCCCCCUCAAGUGUUUCCGUAUGGACAGAGGUGGGGAAAACAAAACUUAGCCAGUAACUGACCUGAAGUCAUACUGCAAAUCAGCAGCAGCAAAUCUAGAACGAUGGAGGCCAAAUUCUCUGCAAAUUGUCAACGACUCGGAAAAGGGCGGCGUCACGGGGACACCAGCAGCAGCAGUAGAAGCCGAAGCAGCAGCAGUAGCAGCAGCAGUAGAAGCCACAGCCGAAGCCGAAAGAGAAGCCGAGAAGCAGCAGAACGAACGCCAGAGAGUCCAGAUAGAGUGAAGACUUGCUGCCAGCACCCCUGCCUGCCAUAUGCCUGGUGAACCCCAAAUAAAAA